GUCUAUUUGGAGAUGUAAAUAGUCAGGCCUGCUCACUGACUGAAUUUGUUUAAAAGCCGCGGUAUUCUGACCGUGCAAAGGUAGCAUAAUCAUUAGUUUUUUAAUUGAAAACUGGUAUGAAAGGUUAGACAAGAAAAAAGCUGUUUCAAUUAUAAUUUUUGAAUUUAACUUUUAAGUGAGAAGGCUUAAAUUACUUAGAGGGACGAUAAGACCCUAUAAAGCUUUAUAUAAAUAUUAGAGUUGAUUGAAGUUGUAUUAAAAGUUAAUAAUAAGUAAUAUAUUUUGUUGGGGCGACAUAAGUAUAAUUUUUAUAACUGCUUAUAUUUUAUGAUCAUUUAUAAAUGGAUAAAUUUUAGAUGACCCUAUAUUAUAGAUUUAAAGAUUAAGUUACUUUAGGGAUAACAGCGUUAUUUUACUUGAGAGUUCUUAUCGAAAGUGAAGUUUGCGACCUCGAUGUUGAAUUAAAGUUUCUGUAUAAUGCAGCCGUUAUAUAAGAAGGUCUGUUCGACCUUUAAAUUUUUACAUGAUUUGAGUUCAGACCGGUGUAAG
rnacentral:rRNA from 1 species